AUUACCUAACAGAUAGAAUGUCAAGCCACUGGAAAAGUGUUAGGUAGGGGAAGGUGAAGGCCCUAAAUCCUUGUGUACGAUACUCAAUAGGGCAUGAAUCCUGAUCCUCAAUCACUAACUACCUAUGGAGCAAAGCAACUGAUGUCUGACCUGAGUUUUCAAGGUUAAGUCAGAGAAAGAGCUGUUUCUAAGGCACUGGGAAUGCAUGCAAAGCCAUUAAAAGAAAUGGUCUGUGCCGAGUUCCAGAAAUGGCUGUAUGAGGUAAAACCAAAAAGAGGAAAGGCCAUGCGAAGACACUACAAGACAGCAGCCACCUGCAAGCCAAAGAAAGAGGCCACAGAAGAAACCAACCCUGAGGGCACCUGACCAUGACCUUAAGGCUUCCAGCCUCUGGAAUACUGAGAAAAUAAAUUUCUGUUUAAGCCA